CCCCCCCCCCCCCCCCCCCCCCCCCCCCCCCCCCCCCCCCCCCCCCCCCCCCCCCCAGGGUCCAUCAGGGUCCAUCAGGGAUCAGCAGGGUCCAUCAGGGAUCAGCAGGGAUCAGCAGGGUCCAUCAGGGUCCAUCAGGGAUCAGCAGGGUCCAUCAGGGAUCAGCAGGGAUCAGCAGGGGUCCAUCAGGGAUCAGCAGG
rnacentral:lncRNA from 12 species